rnacentral:rRNA from 1 species
UACGUAGGGUGCAAGCGUUGUCCGGAAUUAUUGGGCGUAAAGAGCUCGUAGGCGGUCUGUCGCGUCUGCUGUGAAAAUCCAGGGCUCAACCCUGGACCUGCAGUGGGUACGGGCAGACUAGAGUGCGGUAGGGGAGAUCGGAAUUCCUGGUGUAGCGGUGAAAUGCGCAGAUAUCAGGAGGAACACCGGUGGCGAAGGCGGGUCUCUGGGCCGUAACUGACGCUGAGGAGCGAAAGCAUGGGGAGCAAACGGG